rnacentral:rRNA from 1 species
GCAAGAUUAAAACUCAAAGGAAUUGACGGGGCCCGCACAAGCGGUGGAGUAUGUGGUUUAAUUCGAUGCAACGCGAAGAACCUUACCUGGUCUUGACAUCUCAAGGAUCUCCUGGAAACAGGAGAGUGCUUUCUUUCGAGAGAACUUGAAGACAGGUGCUGCAUGGCUGUCGUCAGCUCGUGUCGUGAGAUGUUGGGUUAAGUCCCGCAACGAGCGCAACCCUCGCCAUUAGUUGCCAUCAUUUAGUUGGGCACUCUAAUGGGACUGCCGGUGUCAAACCGGAGGAAGGUGGGGAUGACGUCAAGUCCUCAUGGCCUUUAUGACCAGGGCUACACACGUACUACAAUGGCCGGUACAAAGGGCAGCCACAGGGUAACCUGGAGCAAAUCCCUUAAAGCCGGUCUCAGUCCGGAUCGGAGUCUGCAACUCGACUCCGUGAAGUUGGAAUCGCUAGUAAUCGUGGAUCAGCAUGCCACGGUGGAUACGUUCCCGGGCCUUGUACACACCGCCCGUCACACCACGGAAGUUGGUUGUACCAGAAGUAGUUGAGCGAACCUUCGGGGCGCAGACUACCAAGGUAUGGCUGGUAACUGGGGUGAAGUCGUAACAAGGUA